UAGUAGAAAACAACAAGUUUGCACUAGGAUAGAGAUUUGAAUGUCAGACUCUAUUUUUGCCUCUAAAUUAUACCUCUAAUUUUGAGCCUGUGAGACUGAACAAAAUCCUAGCAGAAGGAAACUGUUUACAGGGCUGAUCCUGGUUGCUCACCCUUGACACCAUUAAAAUGGACAUCUGGAGAAUCAUAGCACUAUGACAAACUAUGUGAGUUCAUGAGUGUUGGUGUCAGAUUGUCUGAGGCCAAAUCCUGACUGUACCACUUAUUAUCUGAGUCUGACACAGGUUACUCGAUUUCUCUAGGCCUCUGUGUUCUCGUCCAUAAGGGCAGAUAAUAGCAACAACCUCCUCAUCAAAUUGCUGGGCCCAUAGAAAGCAUUCCAAGAUAGCUAUUAUCAUUAUUCAUUAUAGCUGCUAACAUCAACUAGAGUCAAUUACAGUAAAUGCCUGCAAUAUCUAUGAGUUCAUUUAUGAUGAAUAUGAAUUGUCUGUUAAAGAUUUUUUAAAAAUAAGGCAGGGAAAAGGAGCCAAAGAAACUUGGAAUUGAAUUAUAAAUCAAUGCCUCUAAGGAGAAGCAACAGUGUGUACUGGUUAAAAUCAUGAAUUCUUGAGCCUAAAAUCCUGGGUUCAAAUCCCAGAUCUGCCACUUCUUAGCUCUUAUUAGCACUUAAAUAGUAUACUUAACCUUUCUGUGUCUGUUCCCUCUUUCUGAAAUGGAAGAUGAUUAUAAUGCUAACCUCAUAUGGUUGUUAUGAAAAUAUAAUUAUUUUUUCUUAAAGCUGUGCCUGGAAGAGCUGGCUUCAUAAUGCAUAGAACAAUCUACUGCUUGAGUUAAUAUUUUGCUCUUGCUGUCUUAAAAUUCUUAAUUUCUUAUUACUAUAUUUUAAUGAUUUUAGGCAUAGAAGAUACACUUGCCAUGCACAUCUGCUUUGCUUUUUCUUUCUGCAAAUCACAUAACAGCUGUGAUGUAAUGUGAGCACAGAAUUUCAUGGGACCCAAAUGCCUGAGAGAUCAGUGAGACUGAAUGUUACAUAGUUAAAUGUGCUUUGUCUAUGACUGACUAUGUGAGAGUGCCAACAGCCCCAAGACACCGUGAUUUCUGUUCAAACCAGAGCUUUCUUCAAAGGCAGGAAGAAGGCAAUGGCGUCUGACAAGCAUAGAUGACGAAGUAAAAAAAAAUCAUCCUCCUUCAUACUCAUCCCCCCACCCCGAUUAAUUAGCUGCCCCCUUAUGCAGAAAAGGAUAGCAUAGAAGGAAACAGAAGGGCAAGCUUUUUGCACAGCAGUUAGGUUGUUGUUUGGGAUUCCUGCGAUCCCAUAUUAGAGUGCCUAGUUUGAAUCCCAGUUCUGCUUCUGAUCAGUUUCCUACUGAUGCAGACCUGGGAGUCAGCAGUGACGGCUCAAGUGCUUGGCUCCCUGUAAUCCAGAUGAGAGACCCAGAGUUGAGUUGAGUUGAGUUUUGGGCUCCUGGCCAUCAUGAUUGUUAUAGGCAUUUGAGGAGUGAACUAGCAGGCAGAAGAUAUCUCUUUGUCUGUAUCUGUGGCUCUUUCUCUGUCUCUCUGUUGUUCAAACAACAUGAAAACCAAUAAAAUUUUUUAGAGAGAAGGAAAGGGAAAAAAAUCAUAGUUUUUUUCCCAGUCUAUCUUUGUUCAUCAGUACACUGAAGGUAGAAAGUGUCAGUAUAAUGUGCAUGUAUCAAGACAUGAAAUGAAAUCAGCUGAGUUAUUUUUGUGCAACAUUUCUCUAUUCUAUAAAGAAAAAAAUACAUUUCUCUGUUCUAUAAAGAAAAAAAUACUAGUCUAGCCUGUAAGAAUUGCAUAAUUUCAGUAUUGUACAAGUGAGUUAAAUUCUUUUAUAUUUUCACUUAAAGCUGGUAUCGCAAAAUAUAAAAGUGGAUGAUUAAAUUUAUGUUAAAAUUUUUAAAAAAUGAUUAUUCUUAGAAUAACAUUGAAUAGCAAAUAAAAAGCACCAUGACAAGUCAAAAGACAGACAGGGGAAGUAAGAAAUAAAUAUCUGUAUUUUAAGACUUCUUACAGUACUAUUUCAUGCUUUCUAAACAAAAGGUUCCACAUUUUCAUUUUGCAUAGAGCCCUACAAAUUAUGCAGUUGGGCCUGUUGAUAAGUACGUCCUAAGUACUCUACUUAUCCAUCCACUUACACACAGCAGGGGGAAAACACAUUUGGUGACAAGAAUAUGAAAAGCACCUGCUACCUCCCUCUUCAGUGGGCUUGAUAAGUAGAGGUCCCGGGAAGACAAGCAGGGGAGUGGAAAGGGGGGUGGCAUCCAGAUGAAGAAAUAGAAAGAAUGAGAAUGAAGCAAAAUGUCGGCUUCACAGAACCACAGGGCAGGAUUCUGACUGAACAUUCCACAAUGCAUUGGUGAUAGCUUUCCUUCCACAGAAAUAUCAGCUAACCACAGUAAACAAUCAGCUGCCCACACUGGAAGAAACAAAUCAGAAAACCGCUGUUCCAUAAUCACAGAACUGAAAGAACUGCUCUCCAGGACUCAUGAUGCCACCAACAGAAGAAGAAUAGUGUUCUUCAGUGUUAGUGAAGUGACCUGCUCUCACCUCCUUCCAUCAAAGUGGCUCUCAUACUAGUCUCCUCGACUAAUCACUCCUGUCCAUAAUCUUCAUAUGAGACCAUAUUGGUAAAAAUCUCAAAGAACAAAUGCCCACAUUAAAACAGACAUCUGCUUGUUUAAAACUCAUACUUUAGGAGAUUUUUGUCAAAUGGAAUCGUAGAAAUGUCUAAAAAGGACAUUAGCUAAAGUUGUAUUGUGUUCAAUUUUCUUUUGAGGUUGAUAUUUUAGGUAAAUGACUGGUCUAUAGUGAAUUUCCUUUUUAUUCUUGAUAAUGGUUACUCAGACCUACUGAUUUUUGUUAUCCAGAUCACCUCUCACUAGAGAUUCAUGAAAUGUUGAUUAAAUCAUUUUGGCUUUGUGGAAUCUUCUCUAUAGCAUUGAGUAUACCUAGUGAUGUGGCCAGAACAUGGAGGGAGAGAAAGAGAGAGGGGUCUUCCAUCACCUGUUUCACUUUCAAAUGGCUGUAACAGUUGGGACUGGGCCAAGCCAAAGCCAGGACCUGGUUCCCCACAUGGGUGGCAGGGACCCAUGUAUUUAGGCCCUCUGCUGCUUUGCCACACGCGUUAGCAGGGACUGGAUCUGAAGCACAGCAGCCCAGGGCUCAAAUUGGCAUUCUGAUAUGGGAUGCUGGUGUAGCAAGUUGUGAAUUACCCUGCCAUACCACAAUGCCAACUCCAGCUUUGAUAUUCUAAUUUAAUAGUUGAAUGAAGAAUGAAACAAUAAUUACUUAGUGUUCUCCUUCCAUCUCAAUAAAUCUACAGUAAGAAUAGUGUUAGUAUUACCAAAAUUUUUAUAGGCUUUCUUUAUAUAUUCUCAUGCUUUUUGGUCAUUUUUGUUGGUGAAAUAAAAAUUUUCAUGAACCUAGCUUCACAUAUUCUCAUUUUCAUUUUCUUCUGUGAGUAAAUCACUUAAAGGAGAGGGAUGAGAGUCUCACAAGCCCUGUUGACAUGCUGGCCACCAGCUUGCUGUCAUUGUUUGCUCUCACUCCUCAACAUAUAUACUUUCAGAGCCUAGCAGAUGUUAUGUUGUAAAUAAAUUUUUCAUCUCUGUGUUUACAAUGGGGAUUUGAUUAUAAUUAUAAUUAGCAUAACUUCAAGUUUACACAUCUCAAAGGAUCAUUAUAGGUAUUUGGCAAUAAAUGUUUGUAAAUAAUCUUGAGGUACUUGAAGUAGACAUAUUGUCUAAUUUGAUAAUGAAAAUAACAAUCAUGCACUUAUAUUCCCAAUCCAGUGGCUGGAAUUAGGUUUUGAAGUCAAAGGAAAGCUUUACAAAAUGUAAAUAUCUAAAUAAGAAAAUACUGUCAUAUCUCCCUUAGGAAAAUAUCUGUGAAAUAUAGAAUAUAAAUAUAAUCCAUGGCUGAUUUAAAAUACAUUUAUAAUGCUUAACAUUUGGAUAAGUAACUAUUUUAUUCUUUGCAUGUGGUUAUUAUAUCAAGAACUAAAGACUUUAAUCAUUUCUCUGGGGUGAUAUUAUGUGGAAGCUAAUUGAUAGUUGUUUCAACAUAAUAGCUUAAUGCUUCUUAAUGAUAAAUUAUGCUUCUAUUCCUAAUUCAUGUCUUGUCCAUGGUAUAAUAUGUAUUUCUGCAAAUAUUGUUAGAAAUAAUUCUUUUAAAAGUCCCACUCCAAAAAAAAAAAGAGCCUAUGUUGCCUUCAAGUCGUACAGGAAGCCACUUUUGUCACAUCUGAUCACCUUUCAUUUCCUCUCAAUAUUAAAAAUCAAUGAUCUGAAAACAUCUAUUCCCUUCUUGCUGGACGAGGAGGGUGAGGAAAGAAUAUACAUGUUUACUCAAUGGUCAUGUCAUUAAAUUCCAUCAUUUUAGUAUUGUGGUCAACUUAAUUCAGAAAGUUAUGAAAUGGCAUGAAACUUCAUCAGAUAAAUUAAAAUAGUUGUUUCCAUAAUUACACAAAAUAAGUUAAGGCAUUAGAUCCUCGCUAAAUAAGAUUUUAGGGCUGAGAAAAUAGAAGAAAAAGAUUUUAUGUUAGAGAUUUCUAUUCUUUCUUUCUAAUUUUACAACUCUAUUAAUAAACUCCUACAUAGUUGAGUUUAUUAGAACAGAUUAUUUCAAUUGUUGUUUGUCUCCCCCAACAACAAUAUAAGUCUUUGAAGCAAUAUCUUGUCUGUGUUACCGUAUGUGUAUUUUCAGAAUUGUACAUUUACCUAACAUAAAAUAAACAGUUAUUAAAUAUUUUGAUUAAUUAAUUAAAUGAUCAAGAACCCCAUAAUUCCCUCCGCAACAAUGAGAUUAUCUUUGACAACAUUUUUAUGUUUUUGGAAAUCAUUAACAAUUCAGUUGCUGCUAUGAAAGUUCAAACUUCUUGAAAGAAUAUAAUUAAAGUAAAAUGUGAAGACAUAAAACUUGUGCAGUUGGAAUUAGUGCUCCAAUGGCAUUAGCUCAUAUUGGCUCAAAAGAGCUGGUUGUAUUCUUUCCCAAAUGAUAUCACACUAGUAUCCUUACUCAUCUGUGGUGGGAGAAUGUGGACCCUGGAAUUAGGAGUAUGCUACAUGUCAAGGCUCCCUUCCCCACUUAACCUCCAGAGGACUUUGAGUUAAUAUCUAAUAGCAUACCAAAUACACCAGUCCUAUUCCAAUAAUAUUGACCAAUUCAGGUAAACUUAAACAAUGGAGGUGUUUGUAACUUAAUUGAAAUAUCAGUCUUUCCCUUUUUAUGAGAUGACUGCUUCCCCUAUUCAAGUACCUGGUUUGAAUCCCAGCUCCUCUGCUUCUGAUCCAACUUCCUGCUAAUGUGUAUUUUGGGAGGAAGCAGGUAAUGAUUUGAGUAAUUCCAUCCAUGCCACCUACAUGUGGGAAAACUUGGUUGGAGUUCCUUACUUCUAGCCUAGCCCUGAAUAUUGAGGAAUGAGCAUGCAGACUGAAAAUCUUUCUCCAUCUGUCUCUUUCCCUUUCUCAUUGUAUCUCUGCCAUUUCAAAUAAAAAGAAGGGGGCCGGAGCCAUGGUGCACUAGGUUAAUCCUCUGCCUGCAGCGCCAGCAUCCCAUAUGGGCGCCAGAUCUAGUGCUGGUGGCUCCUCUUCCAGUCCAGCUCUCUGCUGUGGCCUGGGAAAGCAGUAGAGGAUGGCCCAAGUGCUUGGGCCCCUGCACCCACAUGGGAGACCAGGAAGAAGCACCUGGCUCCUGGCUUCAGAUCGGCUCAGCUCUGGCCGGUGUGGCCAUUUGGAGAGUGAACCAAUGGAAGUAAGACCUUUCACUCUGUCUCUCUCUCUCUCUCUCUCUCACUGUCUGUAACUCUAGCUGUCAAAUAAAUAAAUAAAAAUCUUUUUUUAAAAAAAGAAAAAAUAAUAAAUAAGUUAAAAAUAUAUUUUAGGCAAAGUUGUGGGAAUAAUCAUUACUCAUGAUUAGAGUAACAUGGAGUCAAUUGAGAAGUAUAUCAUCUGGGAUUCUUGGUCUCACUACAUCUCACUAUUCUAGAAUACUGGCAUGUGAUUCUUCAUUCAUCUCCUCAU